rnacentral:lncRNA from 1 species
GCGAUCCCAGUAGCCGCCGCCUCUGAAGCAGAAGCAACAACAACUGCUCCUGUUGAGGUGAAGGAGAAAGAGAUAGUUGUUGAAGCAGAAGCAAAGAAAGAGGAAGAACCAGCACCAGCACCAGCACCAGCACCUGCACCUGCACCUGCACCUGCACCUGCACCUGCACCUGCGGCGGCACCUGCAGCUGAGGUGGCACCUGCUGAGGUAGCACCUGCAGCUGACGUGGCACCUGCCAAGGUGGAAGAAGCACCUGCAGCAGUAGCAGCACCAGAACCACCAAAAGCUUGAUGAAUCUUUCAAUUUGUUUGUCUCUCUGUGUAAGAGUUGAUUUUUUAUUUUAUUUUUCUUUGUCUGUUGAUUUUUCUGUGUUUUGUGGUCACUGUAUAAGAAAGAAGACAAAAACAUGAUUUGUUAUAUUUUUUGUUUGUGUUUUUCUCCCUUCUCUCUUUCUCGUGUUAGUUUGUACUUUGUACAAUAUUCUAUGUACAUUUUUCAAAGUUUUUCCUUUUGAUUCUUCAAUACUAUAAAAUGUGCCUUGAUAUAUAUGGUUUCUCAUUUCCUUUUUUCUCAGCUGACUU